CACAGUUCCCUAGCCCUUUCUGCCACGUGAGGACACAGCAUGAAGCCUGUGACCCAGAAGAGGACCCUCCCGCCAACCACGCUGGCAUCCUGAUCUCAGGCUUCCAGUCUCCAGAACUCCUCUGGAACUAUGAGCCCCCUCGUCUAUGACAGUGUGUUAAUGCAGCCCAAGCAGAUGGAAUCGGUGUAUGGCCACCAAGACCCAACCAGGACUCUUAGUCUUUGCUCCAGAGCUCCUCAUCAGGCUGAUUCAGACUUCGGCAGGUCUGCAUUACAGUCCUCCCCUUACUGGUAACUCAAAGGAUCUGGGCAGAAGAAUCUCAUGGAUUUUGAAUGCUGACCUCCCCCACCCUUAAUCAGAACGCUUCACUGUCCUGCCAUCCAGCGUCCAUCUCAGAGGGACGUUUGUAAGGGGUUGCUUUAUCUGGUCCUCAGGGGGAGCCCUACCGACAUUUUGUGGCAGGGCAAUUUCUAGUUAUGGGGGACUACUCCCUGGCAUUUGGGGAUAUUUAUGUCCCCGUCCCCCACCUGCCUCCCUCCAGCCCUUGUGAGGACUGAAAACACUUGCACAUUUUCAAAUGUGCUCCAGCACCCCAACCUUUGAAAACCAGUGCUGGAGGGGUUGAUGGUGAGCCCCUACCUUAUAGAUGAGGGAACCAGGGCUUAGAGAAGCUGGAUAGCAAGGUCACGCUAGACAUGAGCAGUGGAUUUGGUACUCCAUAAACUCCAUAAGUGCUUUCCUAACUUCCCUCUGCAGAGGGUGUUUAAGUGAGUAGCAAGUUAUUUAAGUUAGUGCAUGUAUGA